CUUAAUGAAAUUUCAAAGUGCUCUUUUGCUGUCAAAAUUACCGACCCUUCUUUGUUUCACACAGCGGGUUUCUUUUCUUGCCCUUUUGUCCUCUUAUCCAGCAUGAUAUUCUGAAAACACAGAUAUUGAGUUGAGAAUUGAUGUGUUUCCUCCCUAUGUUAAGCCUUUAAACAUCAGCCAUGGACUCUACUAUGUGACUGUAACUGACUUAGUUGUCUGCUGUGUCUCCUUAAAAAGUUCUGGAAUGCUGUCCUAACCCACUAAGCUAAAAGGAUUUUCAGAUAUUUGCAUGCUCGUAUUAUUGUCAACAGAGCAAUCAUGUGGUAGGAUGUGUCUUGAUUGGA
rnacentral:lncRNA from 1 species